UGGAUCAUGUUCACACAUGUAGAGAGCCUGC
rnacentral:piRNA from 1 species